UUGGGGUGAAUUUCUUAAAGGAGAACACCUUUUAUUGGCCAAAGGUCUAUAAACUGAACUUUUCUUUAAGAGAAAUGCACCCUGUUGAAACAAGUCAGGCUACAAGAAGUGCAGUUCCUUCACAUUCAGCCAAUAAAAAGUGUACCGAUAAGAAAUUUACUCUGAUAACAGACACUAUAUAGGCUUCAAACAUUGGGCUAGAUAAGAUAACAAGCUACUAACUCCAAGGAUAUCAGCAAACAUCUCUUUCCAUCCAUCCCAAUCCAGAUACAUCCAAGUGGCAAGCAUUGUAGGCAGUCCAAAUACCAGGCAAUUAUUGAAUCUUUCUCUCCAACGACAGAAGCGCCUAGAGAGGAGAUUACCAAAAAAAAAUAUACAUCAAUUUAGAUAAAAUAGGGAGAGCAGAUCAAUCUGUAUAUGUAAUUUUGUGGAUCAUAUUCAUACCAGAGGGCAUCACUGGGAUUAGGCUCAAUGUGUCUGAAAAGAUGAUGGAUAAGCUCUCUAUUAUCUCGGAAGUACUUAUUAUGCGAGGGGAAUCUACUAUCAAGCUCAGCGAGCAAGUAGAAGAGGUCGUGCUUCUUGGUCUCGAUUUCUGCUAUUUGACGAUGGCCCCAUGCUCUCUUGGCGUCGAGGUCAAGCGCAGGUUUUGCAUUCGGUUGCUGUCAACAGAAAGUGAGGGUUAUAGGCAUCGAGCUAUGCUACUCCCUCCGACUUAAGAAAGAAGGCAUGUCAUAUUGUCUGAAGCAGAUUUGCAGGAAAAUUUAUCAACAACUACAAUACUAAAUACAGAUGAUAAGAAAAAAUAUUUCAUUGUGUCUGCCGAUGUUUUUUGGUUAAUCUGUCAUGUUUUGGGGGCUAAUCACCGGGAGAUUUGACCAAUUAGCAAGGCAGUAAGCAAUGGUUGUUAGAUCCAGCAUGGAGUGCGUAAUUUGCACAGUUACUAGAGCAAUAAGUCAAUCUAAUUAGAACCCGAUGGGGAGAUUUGACCAAUUAGCAAGGCAGUAAGCAAGGGUUGUUAGAUCCAGCAUGGAGUGGGUAAUUUGCACAGUUACUAGAACAACAAGUCAAUCACUAGUCUAGUUAAUUAGAACUCGACGGGGAGAAAAGAUUGGGUUGUAUCGACCAUACAUGCAGGUUGCUGUUGCCAACAUCAGCGCCGCCGGCGGAGGCAGACAAAGGCCGGAAACGAAAAGGGAUAGGCUGACGGCCGCCGUAGAUGAGCCUUGGCAUCAGCCGGCGACACUCAUCCUCGACCAGCGGCGAGACGACGGGCUUGUAAACCGCCUUGCCGCCGCCGAGCCUUCUGCCCACGUGUCGAAUCGCCGCCGCCAUCGCCUCGUCUGCUGCCUGCGUUUCUUGCCGAUCUAGGGUUCGGUUCCUCCUUUUUUUUUAGAUGAGUUGGGUUCCUCCUCUGCUACCACCACUAUCCGGACCGAACUGCCAGCACUCCCAACCCCACAGCCCAUUCUGUUGGUUGGUAAGUACGGCCCUGCUGGAGUUUUUNNNNNNNNNNNNNNNNNNNNNNNNNNNNNNNNNNNNNNNNNNNNNNNNNNNNNNNNNNNNNNNNNNNNNNNNNNNNNNNNNNNNNNNNNNNNNNNNNNNNNNNNNNNNNNNNNNNNNNNNNNNNNNNNNNNNNNNNNNNNNNNNNNNNNNNNNNNNNNNNNNNNNNNNNNNNNNNNNNNNNNNNNNNNNNNNNNNNNNNNNNNNNNNNNNNNNNNNNNNNNNNNNNNNNNNNNNNNNNNNNNUUUUUUUGCUUCAACCAAGAAACGAGGUUUCAUUUAGCAACCCACGGUGAAUCUAUUCCCUCUAAACAUUUGCGGAAGCACCAGGUCAAUGUUCGGGUGUGUCCGUUUUGAGCCCCUAUUUGUCUAUCAAUGUAGCUAUACUCCUCUUUUUUUUUCUUAUAUAUGUCCGGUCACUCAUGUGAUUGAUGAAGAUGAAGAGGGAAAAAAAAGUAAGAACAAAGAAAGAGAAAAGGUGGUCUAGGAUGGGCCAUGUCCAACGUAGCGAACUGACCGGACGCUCAGUGGGCCCUCAUAUUCUCCUCGGAUUUGGUAUCAAUAUAGGGGUUUUCGGACAACCUGAACAUAUACGGAUGAUAUGAGAAGUCUAGUUGAGUAAAAGUUUUCCUUCUCUCUUAUAUCCAGCCAAUGUCGAGCGCAUCUACGGAUGUUUGAGGAGGAAUUAAGGAGGCCGGCUGUAGAUGCUCGUGGCCACCGGUUUUAGGAAGGUUCUGAACCUUCCUUGAAUUUGGUUUUCUUUUAUUUAUUCCGGUCAUCUCCAUUUUCCUUUUUUUUCUUUUGUGAUUUUUUUUGUAAUUCAGACAUUUUUUUAAAAUGUGCCAACAAUUUUAAAAUUUGUGAAUAUUAAUUUAAUUUUGGAAUAUUUUUUUAAAUCAGAGAAUGUUUUCAAAUUCAUGAAUAUUUUUUGAAACUUUGGAACAUAUUCAAAUUUUUUAAUAUUUUUAAAAUCUGUGAACAUUUUUCAAUUCUUAAUAUUUUUUAAUCUGUAACAUUUUUUAAAAUACGGGAACAAUUUUCAAAUUCAUGGUUUUUUUAGAUCAGGAACAAUUUUUAAAUUCCUCUUUUUUUGAAAUCCAACUACAUUUUUUAAGUUCAUGAUUUUUCUUAAUUCAAGACAUCUUUUGAAAUCCCAAUGAUUAGACCAAAGCCAACUCUAGUAGUAGUUGAUGUAAAAAAUAAAAAUGCCGAUUUAAAUAUGGAUGCAACUAAACUCAAAGAUAUAGAAAACUAGGACAUACGUCAAUUCACUUCCGAGUUACCUCCGAGGCAGCACUUUCUUUAUCGCCAUGUAGCUAGGCUUCGAUGCUCCAUUAAUUCAUCCACCCAUAUCCCAAGAGAUAUCGACCCAAAGUGUUGUUCUUACCGCCGAUCGAGGUUUAGAACACCUCAUAGCAAAGUUUGGUCGGAGACAUACUCGCUUCCGGUGCAUCAACAUCAUAUAAGUAAAUACUACUUGCUCUCAAGCGAGAAAUGAUGCACCAAGCAUAGUGAGCAUGUCUCCUCAUCAGAGAAUCUAUGUCGUGAUAUGAUUGUACUCCCUCCGUUCUAAAAUAGAUGACUCAACUUUGUACUAACUUUAGUACAAAGUUAGUAUAAAGUUGGGUCAUCUAUUUUGGAACGGCGGAUGGCUCUCUUCCCCUCUCCUUCCCUCCUCGUCCCUCUCCUUCCCCCUCCCCGCCCCUCCGGCACCGCUCUAUGCUCCUCCGUCGCCGCCCUGGGCUCUGGUCCGCCCCUCCCCUCAGCGUCUGGCUCUUCCUCCCCCGCUCGCCCGUCGGUGGUUCGGGCUUCGGUUCCCUCCGCGUCGCCGCUUGGCUCCCGAUUUUGGGCUCUCGCUUCCGAUGAGGACUGCUCAUCGGACGAGGAGCCUUCCCGCCUGCCCUCACCGGUCCGCCCUGUGCGGGUCCCUUCCCCCUCCGCCGCGCCCCGCCCUCGCAAGUUUGCUCCUGGGGGCCGGGGCCGGCCGGUGCCGUCGCCGUCGUCUGAUGUUGGCUGGGUUCGGAUCUCUCAUCGUCAGCGCAAAUCUGGUAAGUUUUCCUGCCCCUCGCCCUGAUCUGGGGUCCUGGGUGCCGCUCCGGGUGUGGUAUGCCCCUCCUCCCCAUCCUCUGCUCCUGGUACGGCUUCCCUGUCUCCGGCGGCUGCGACGUCGGGGUGUGUCGCGACGGUGGCGCCACUUGCCCUAGAUCUGGUCUCCUCCCCGUUGACCAGUUGGUCGCGGGACGGGCCGUCUGUUGGGCCUCCUGCUCUCGCUCUGGCUUCCCAGCCCACUCCUCCUACCCUGUCGUCAGUUGACGAAUUCCCCUCCUCCUGUUUGUGGGCCCGGUGCGGCUUCCCCCUGCUUCUGGGUUACCUGUUCCUCCCCCGGCCUGCGUGGCCCAUUUGGCCCAGGUGAGCACGGCUCGGUCUGGGUAUUUAUGGAUCCCCCGCGGCUUCGUUCCCCCCUGCUAGGGUUUCCGGCUUCCGCCGCUGAUUUGCGUCGACACCGCACCCCCAUUCGUCGUCUCGUCAAAUCCACUCCUCCUCCCCCUCCUCCUCUCCUUCGCGGCGGUGCUCUCCAUGGAUAAGUCGAGGGGUUCGUCUUGCGAUGCGGUCUCGGGAAGCAAGCGCUGGCGGGAGGACUCGCCGGGCUCGGGCGUGGAUUUGGAGCUCGAGGCUUCCCUUCGGUCCAAGCUGGAGGCGGAGCAGGCGGCUCGUGAGCAGGUGGCUCGCGACCGUGCUGCGUGGCUGCUGGUCCGGAGUGGCUCCAGCGCUCGGAGCGGGAGCGAGCUCCUGGAUCUAGUCCGCAAGGAUCUGGAUCUGGGGCUUCUCUAUCUCCGGCGUUGGAUCCUUGGGAAGCGGCGGCGGCGGUUGGCGGGGGGCUCUCGUCCUCGUCGGGCUCCUUGCCUGCUCUUGGCGCGGGGCGUGGCGCUCCUGCCCCGGCGCGGCAGACCCCCCGCCCGGUGGGCGCUGGUGCUGGGCCUCGCCCUCCGCCGCGGUCUUUCGCUAGUCCGGUCCGGCGGCCUGUUGGCCCUCUUCCUGGCGCUUCCUCGUCGGGGGUGGGGGAUGGGCUCCUGCCUCCUCCUCCCUCCCUUCCGCAGCAUCGUCCCAACUCUUCCACCCCGAGUAACCCCUCUGCUCUCACAUGCUUUGCCUAUCAUAGGCCAGGGCACUUCCAAUCCAGAUGCACUAACCCCCCGCUCUGCUUAAUUUGCCGAUCGGAUGGGCACCUCACUGUCAACUGUCAGAACCGCCAGAAACCUCCCUCCUUCCUCCAGGCUUGGGUCUUCCUGGUUGCGCCUUUUUUGCUAUGGAUAGCGAUCUGCCUGUCCUGGCGGCCCCCCCUCCCUCUCAAAUGCUGCCAUAGUCUCGGUGAAAGAUCAAAAGAUCUCGUCUCAAACUCUGCUUGAAGGGCUCCGGAUCUGGGAUGUUGAAGGUUGGGAUUGGCAAGUUAAUCAGCUGUCUGACUAUGAGUUCUCUAUUGUGUUCCCCUCCAAGGACUGCCUUCGUAUGAUUGCCUCUUGCACUAGCUUCACCCUUCCCCUCAAUCAACUAGUGGUGUCAGUGAAGCCUGCUACUUGUAGUGGAAAAGCUGUUGGUCCUCUCUCUCAGGUGUGGGUGUUGGUGGAUGAUGUGCCAGCGGGGCUCCGAUCCUCUUCCUUCCUGAUGGCGUUUGGUGUCCUGAUUGGGAAGCAUGUGGAGGUGGAUGUGGAGUCGCUGGAAAGGGUUGAUCCAGCUCGUAUCAAAAUCUGGUGUGUUGACCCGCUCUGCGUUCACGGAUCUAUUGAUGUUUUUCCUUCGCCCAAUGGAGUCAGGCUUCGUGUUCGGGUGGAAGGGGCGGAUGCCUUCCACCCCCACCUCCUUCUCCCCCCAUCCAACCCCUCGGACAAGCAUGAUAAGGAUGGAGACGGUUCUAUGGGUGGUCAAAAUCCUAGUGAUGGCUCUAACCUACGUUUCACUCAAUCCGAGUGGGAUGGGCUGGCUGAUUCGGAGAAGGAGCUGUUCCAAUCCCAAGCGCCUGUUGACAAGGCUCCCCACGAGGCGGUGACUGCCCCUCCUUUUGCCCCUGCGAUGCCUGCUGCUGAUGAAGUGUUGCGCAUGAAACAGUCUGUUACGGCCACCCCCAUCUCGAGGGCCUGCUCCAACCUUCCGGGCCGUCCUAUCUCUCCCACUCGCUCCGGAAUUGAGGAUCUGCCCAUCUUCCCUGGUCAUGAUGAUGAGGGAUCUCAGUCUAAGAGGAAGAAGAAGUCUAUAGUUUGCAAGUUCUCGGCGAAGAGCAGGGCCUCCUCGGGCUCUAAGCAGUCGAUGACUCGUGUCUGCCGUCGCCUCGACAAGGACCUGGGCUCGAUGUCGCGUUCGGGCCCCGUCCCGGCUUCCCCCGUGGCCCGUUCUCCUUCGAUUCGUUCGCCCACUUCCACGGCUCGCAAGGGCAGGCGGGUUGGUGAUGCGGGUGGAUCUAUCUUGGAGCGGGCGGAGCGGCGGGCUGCUGCUAAGGAUCUUCCCCCUUCAGGUAAUCAUCUUGGUCCGAUCCCUUCUUCUUCCCCGAUUCGGCUAGUUCUUCCUACUCUUUCUGGUGAUCACCUGUUUAAUAUUAUGUCUGAUGUGGGUGUUUCGGUAGAUACCGAGGUAGGCUCCCCUUCUUCUCUCCUUUCUACUAUUCGGGCCAACGAGAUGGCUCAGGCGGCCAUUGCUAAAGCCAAAGAGGUCGUUGCCUCUUCGGCUGCAGUUUCUAUAGGAGUCGGGGCUCAGGGUGCUGGUGUGGAGGUCGGUAGUGGCCAACCCCAGCCUAGCGCUUCCAGGAGGGGCCCUGCUAAAAGAUCUAAGCCCUGCGCAGCUCCUAGCAGGUCCAGCCUCCGCAUCAAAAACCUUUCUUAUAAAUGUGCUAGGGGGCGCCGUGACCAAAUUAAAGACUUGGUGCGUGGGAACAAUAUUGAUUUGGUUGGGCUGGUUGAAACCUUUAAAGAAUCCUUCUCCCCUAACGAACUCUCUGCUAUCGCGGGCAUGGAUAGAUUUGAUUGGCAUGUGUUACCUGCGUCGGGCCACUCGGGAGGGAUCCUGAUUGGCUCAAAAAAAGAUGUCUUCGACUUCGUGGCCUUUGAUCAUGGUGUUUUUGGGGCAAGUACGGUAGUUUGUCACAAAGCCCUUGAUGUUUUGUGGGAAGUCAUUGUGGUUUAUGGUCCGGCUGAUCACUCGCUUUCUUCCUUAUUCUUGGACGAGCUUUCUGCUAAGAUUGAGGCGUGUAAUUUACCGAUAGUUAUCGGUGGUGACUUCAACAUCCUUCGUUUUCCUUCUGACAAAAGUAAUGACAACUUCUCCUGGCCUCUGGCUAAUGCCUUCAAUGACUUUAUUAGUACCAAUGCUAUCCGCGAGCUUCCUAGGAUUGGGGCCCAUUUCACUUGGUCUAACCAUCAGGCCAACCCGAUUAGAUUAGUGCUUGAUAGAGUUUUUAUGUGUUCCAGAUGGGAUUCUCUCUUUCCCCGGGCCUCCCUUCUCGCUAAAAGUACCGUCAGUUCCGAUCACACCCCUCUUCUUCUUGAUGGUGGGUUGCAUCAAGUUAGACCUCCUGCUAGAUUCCAAUUUGAUGCUUCUUGGUUGCUCGCUGAAGGGUUUAAUGAUUUGCUGGCCUCGAAGAUUACUCACUUAUUAACCUCAAACACUCGUUCCUUUGGCCCUUUAGAUGAUUGGCACUCUUGCUCUUACAACUUGCGCAAAUUUCUUAGAGGCUGGUCCCAUAAUCACGCUGCAGAGGAGCGUCGCUCGAAGGAUUCUCUCGAAUCCCAAAUCUUGGACCUUGACCGCUUGGCCGAUUCUUCCGGGCUCUCCGACGAUGGGUGGUCUUUGCGGUACAAUCUUGAGUCCACCUUGAUGCAGUUGCACCAACAGGCUGAGAUUUAUUGGCGCCAGUGCUACCUCUUGAGCACUGCGUUGGUUUUCCCUUGAAGAGGAAAGGGUGAUGCAGCAAAGUAGCGUAAGUAUUUCCCUCAGUUUUUGAGAACCAAGGUAUCAAUCCAGUAGGAGGCUACGCUCGAGUCCCACGCACCUACACAAACAAAUAAGAACCUCGCAACCAACGCGAUAAAGGGGAUGCCAAUCCCUUCACGGUCACUUACGAGAGUGAGAUCUGAUAGAUAUGAUAAGAUAAUAUUUUUGGUAUUUUUAUGAUAAAGAGAAAUAAAGAUGCAAGUAAAAUAAAAGGCAAUAUAAAUAGCUUAUGAUAGAAAAUAGACCCGGGGGCCAUAGGUUUCCCUAGUAGCUUCUCUCAAGAGCAUAAGUAUUACGGUGGGUGAACAAAUUACUGUCGAGCAAUUGAUAGAAUUGAGCAUAGUUAUAACAAUAUCUAGGUAUGAUCAUGUAUAUAGGCAUCACGUCCGUGACAAGUAGACCGAAACGAUUCUGCAUCUACUACUAUUACUCCACACAUCGACCGCUAUCCAGCAUGCAUCUAGAGUAUUAUGUUCAUAAGAACAGAGUAAUGCUUUAAGAAAGAUGACAUGAUGUAGAGGGAUAAACUCAUGCAAUAUGAUAUAAACCCCAUCUUGUUAUCCUCGAUGGCAACAAUACAAUACGUGCCUUGCUGCCCCUGCUGUCACUGGGAAAGGACACCGCAAGAUUGAACCCAAAGCUAAGCACUUCUCCCAUUGCAAGAAAGGUCAAUCUAGUAGGCCAAACCACACUGAUAAUUCGAAGAGACUUGCAAAGAUAACCAAUCAUACAUAAAAGAAUUCAGAGGAGAUUCAAAUAUUGUUCAUAGAUAAUCUUGAUCAUAAACCCACAAUUCAUCGUUCCUGACAAACACACCGCAAAAGAAGAUUACAUCGAAUAGAUCUCCAAGAGAAUCGAGGAGAACUUUGUAUUGUGAUCCAAAGAGAGAGAAGAAGCCAUCUAGCUAAUAACUAUGGACCCGAAGGUCUGAGGUAAACUACUCACACAUCAUCGGAGAGGCUAUGGUGUUGAUGUAGAAGCCCUCCGUGAUCAAUGCCCCCUCCGGCAGGACGCCGGAAAAGGCCCCAAGAUGGGAUCUCACGGGUACAGAAGGUUGCGGCGGUGGAAUUAGGUUUUCGUGGAUGCCUCUGAUGGUUUGGGGGUACGUAGGUAUAUAUAGGAGGAAGAAGUAGGUCGGUGGAGCCACGAGGGGCCCACGAGGGUGGAGGGCGCGCCUGGGAGGGGGGUAGGCGCGCCCCCUACCUCAUGGCCUCCUCGUCUGUUACUUGACGUCCAGUCCAAGUCCUUUGGAUCACGUUUGUUCCAAAAAUCACGUUCCCGAAGGUUUCAUUUCGUUUGGACUCCGUUUGAUAUUCUUUUUCUGCGAAACUCUGAAAUAGGCAAAAAAACAGCAAUUUGGGCUGGGCCUCCGGUUAAUAGGUUAGUCCCAAAAAUAAUAUAAAACUGUAUAAAUAAGCCCAUUAAACAUCCAAAAUAGAAUAUAUAGUAGCAUGGAACAAUCAAAAAUUAUAGAUACGUUGGAGACGUAUCAAGCAUCCCCAAGCUUAAUUCCUGCUCGUCCUCAAGUAGGUAAAUGAUAAAAACAGAAUUUUUGAUGUGGAAUGCUUCUUGGCAUACUUCUUAAUGUAAAUCUUUUAUUGUGGCAUGAAUAUCUAGGUCCGAAAGAUUCGAGAUAAAAGUUUAAUGUUGACAUAAAAACAAUAAUACUUCGAACAUGCUAACCAAGCAAUUAUGUCUUAUCAAAAUAACAUAGCCAAAGAAAGCUUAUCUCUACAAAAUCAUAUAGUUAGGCUAUGUUUCAAUAUUGUCACACAAACAUUCUCAUCAUGCGUAACCCCGAUGACAAUCCGAGCAAUUGGUUCAUACUUUUAACGCGCUUCAGCCUUUUCAACUCUUACGCAAUACAUGAGCGCAAGCCAUGGAUAUAGCACUAUGGGUGGAGUAAAGUAUAAUGAUGGGGGUUAUGAGAGAAGACAAAAAAGGUAGAAAGUCUCACAUUGACGUGGCUAAUCAAUAGGCUAUGGAGAUGCCCAUCAAUUGAUGUCAAUGAGAGGAGUAGGGAUUGCCAUGCAACAGAUGCACUAGAGCUAUAAGUAUAUGAAAGCUCAACAAAAGAAACUAAGUGGGUGUGCAUCCAACUUGCUUGCUCACGAAGACCUAGGGCAUUUUGAGGAAGCCCAUCAUUGGAAUAUACAAGCUAAGUUCUAUAAUGAAAAAUUCCCACUAGUAUAUGACAGUGACAACAUAGGAGAGUCUCUAUCAUGAAAAUCAUGGUGCUACUUUUAAGCACAAGUGUGGAAAAGGAUAGUAACAUUGUCCCUUCUCUCUUUUUCUCUCAUUUUUUUUCUUGGGCCUUCUCUUUUUUUUGGCCUAUANNNNNNNNNNNNNNNNNNNNNNNNNNNNNNNNNNNNNNNNNNNNNNNNNNNNNNNNNNNNNNNNNNNNNNNNNNNNNNNNNNNNNNNNNNNNNNNNNNNNNNNNNNNNNNNNNNNNNNNNNNNNNNNNNNNNNNNNNNNNNNNNNNNNNNNNNNNNNNNNNNNNNNNNNNNNNNNNNNNNNNNNNNNNNNNNNNNNNNNNNNNNNNNNNNNNNNNNNNNNNNNNNNNNNNNNNNNNNNNNNNNNNNNNNNNNNNNNNNNNNNNNNNNNNNNNNNNNNNNNNNNNNNNNNNNNNNNNNNNNNNNNUAUAUAGUCCGGAAUCUCAUCCCGACUUGUGGGGGAAUCAUAGUCUCCAUCAUCCUUUCCUCACAUGGGCCGAUGCUCUAAUAAUGAUGAUCAUCACACUUUUAUUACUUACAACUCAACAAUUACAACUCAAUACUUAGAACAAGAUAUGACUCUAUGUGAAUGCCUCCGGCGGUGUACCGGGAUAUGCGAUGAAUCAAGAGUGACAUGUAUGAAAAAAUUAUGAAUAGUGGGCUUUGCCACAAAAUACGAUGUCAACUACAUGAUCAUGCAAAGCAAUAUGACAAUGAUGAAACGUGUCAUGAUAAAAGGAACGGUGGAAAGUUGCAUGGCAAUAUAUCUCGGAAUGGCUAUGGAAAUGCCAUAAUAGGUAGGUAUGAUGGCUGUUUUGAGGAAGAUAUAAGGAGGCUUAUGUGUGAUAGAGCGUAUCAUAUCACGGGGUUUGGAUGCACCGGCGAAGUUUGCACCAACUCUCAAUGUGAGAAAGGGCAAUGCGCGGUACCCUAGAGGCUAGAAAAUUGUGGAAGGUUGAGAGUGUGUAUAAUCCAUGGACUCACAUUAGUCAUAAAGAACUCAUAUACUUAUUGCAAAAGUUUAUUAGCCCUCGAAGCAAAGUACUACUAUGCAUGCCCCUAGAUGGAUAGAUUGGUAGGAAAAUACCAUCGCUCGUCCCCAACCGCCACUCAUAAGGAAAGCAAUAAAAGAACACCUAUGUGUCAAAAUUGUUACACAACUUUUACCAUAUGUGCAUGCUACGGGACUUGCCAACUUUAACACAAGUAUUUCUCAAUUUCACAAUUACUCAACUAGCACACUCUAAUAUUACCACCUUUAUAUCUCAAAACACUUAUCAAGUAUCUAACUUCUCAUGAUAUUUAAUGAACUCAAUAUGGAAGAUCAAUUUCAUGAUUAAAGAAAAUUACCAUGCUGUUUAAGACUCUCAAAAUAAUAUAAGUGAAGCAUGAGAGUUCAAUAAUUUCUAUAAAAUAUAACCACCGCCGUGCUCUAAAAGAUAUAAGUAAAGCACUAGAGCAAAACUAUAUAGCUCAAAGGAUAUAAGUGAAGCACAUAGAGUAUUCUAACAAAUUCCGAAUCAUGUGUGUCUCUCUCAAAAGGUGUGUACAGCAAGGAUGAUUGUGGCAAACUAACAAAUAAAUACUCAAAUCAUACAAGACGCUCCAAGCAAAACACAUAUCAUGUGGUGAAUAAAAAUAUAGCUCCAAGUAAAUUUAUCGAUGGAUGAGGACGAAAGAGGGGAUGCCUUCCGGGGCAUCCCCAAGAUUUGGCUUUUUGGUGUCUUUGGAUUACCUUGGGGUUCCAUGGGCAUCCCCAAGCUUAGGCUCUUGCCACUCCUUGUUCCAUACUCCAUCAAAUCUUUACCCAAAACUUGAAAACUUCACAACACAAAACUUAGCAGAAAAUCUCGUGAGCUCCGUUAGCGAAAGAAAAGAAAACACCACUUCAAGGUACUGUAUUGAACUCAUUCUUUAUUUAUAUUGAUGUUAAACCUACUGUAUUCCAACUUCUCUAUGGUUUAUAAACUAUUUUACUAGCCAUAGAUUCAUCAAAAUAAGCAAACAACACAUGAAAAACAGAAUCUGUCAAAAACAGAACAGUCUGUAGUAAUCUGUAACUAACACAAACUUCUGGAACUCUAAAAAUUCUUCCAAAAUAGGACGACCUAAAUAAUUUGUUUAUUGAUCUUCUGCAAUUGGAAUCAGUAUUAUAUCACGUUCUGGUAAUUUUUAACAAUCGUUUUCGUGAACAGAAAGUUUCUGGAAUUUUCAGCAAGAUCAAAUAACUAUCAUCCAAGAAGAUCCUAUAGGUUUAACUUGGCACAAACACUAAUUAAAACAUAAAAACAAAUCUAGCCAGAGGCUAGAUCAAAGAUUUAUUCCUAAACAGAAGCAAAAAGCAAAAAAAAACUAAAAAUAAAAUUGGGUUGCCUCCCAACAAGCGCUAUCGUUUAACGCCCCUAGGUAGGCAUAAAAACACGGAUAGAUCUAGGUGUUGCCAUCUUUGGUAGGCAAUCCAUAAGUGGCUCUCAUAAUAGGUUCAUAUGGCAAUUUAAUUUUCUUUCUAGGGAAGUGUUCCAUGCCUUUCCUUAACGGAAAUUGGAAUCUAAUAUUUCCUUCCUUCAUAUCAAUGAUUGCACCAAUCGUUUUAAGGAAAGGUCUACCAAGAAUAAUAGGACAUGAAGGAUUGCAAUAUAUCAAGAACAAUAAAAUCUACGGGCACAUAAUUCCUAUUUGCAACAAUAAGAACAUCAUUAAUUCUUCCCAUAGUUUUCUUGAUAGUGGAAUCCACAAGGUGUAAGUUUAAAGAGCAAUCAUCGAAUUCGCGGAAACCUAACAAAUCACACAAAGUUUUUGGAAUCGUGGAAACACUAGCACCCAAAUCACACAAAGCAUAGCAUUCAUGAUCUUUAAUUUUAAUUUUAAUAGUAGGUUCCCACUCAUCAUAAUGUUUUCUAGGGAUAGAAACUUCCAACUCAAGCUUUUCUUCAUAAGAUUGCAUCAAAGCAUCAACGAUAUGUUUAGUAAAAGCUUUAUUUUGACUAUAAGCAUGCGGAGAAUUUAGCACGGAUUGCAACAAGGAAAUACAAUCUAUCAAAGAGAAAUUAUCAUAAUUAAAUUCCGUGAAAUCCAAGAUAGUGGGUUCAUUGAUAUCUAAAGUUUUGACCUCUUCAAUCCCACUUUUACCAAUUUUUGCAUCAAGAUCUAAAAACUCCGAAUUUUUGGGACGCCUUCUAACUAAAGUUGACUCAUCUCAAGUCCCAUCAUUAUCAAGAUUCAUAUUGAAAAACAAAGAUUUAAUAGGGGACACAUCAAUAACUUUUAGAUCUUCAUCUUUAUUUUCAUAGAAACUAGAAGAACACGCUUUCACAAAACAAUCUUUCUUAGCACGCAUCCUAGCGGUUCUUUCUUUGCACGCAUCAAUGGAAAUUCUCAUGGCUUUGAGAGACUCAUUGAUAUCAUGCUUAGGAGAAAUAGAUCUAAGUUUCAAAGAAUCAACAUCAAGAGAAAUUCUCUCAACGUUCCUAGCUAAUUCAUCAACUUUAAGCAAUUUUUCUUCAAGCAAAGCAUUGAAAUUCUUUUGCGAAUUCAUAAACUCCUUAACACUAGUCUCAAAUUCAGAAGGCAUCUUAUUAAAUUUUCCAUAAGAAUUGUUGUAGGAAUUACCAUAAUUAUUAGAGGAAUUACUAGGAUACGGCCUAGGAUUAAAGUUUCCACUAUACGCGUUGUUACCAAAAUUAUUCCUACCAACAAAAUUCACAUCCAUAGAUUCAUUAUUAUUCUCAAUCAAAGUAGACAAAGGCAUAUCAUUAGGAUCAGAAGAAACACUGUUAUUAGCAAAUAAUUUCAUAAGUUCAUCCAUCUUUGCACUCAAAACAUUAAUUUCUUCUAUCGCAUGCACUUUUUUAUUAGUAGAUCUUUCAGUGUGUCAUUGAGAAUAAUUAACCAUAAUAUUAUCUAGGAGUUUAGUACCUUCUCCUAAAGUGAUUUCCAUAAAAGUGCCUCCCGCGGCCGAAUCUAAAAGAUUUCUAGAAGCAAAAUUCAAUCCGGCAUAAAAAUUUUGUAUAAUCAUCCACAAAUUCAAACCAUGAGUAGGACAAUUACGUAUCAUUAAUUUCAUUCUAUCCCAAGCUUGUGCAACAUGUUCAUGAUCAAGUUGCUUAAAAUUCAUAAUAUCGUUUCUAAGAGGGAUGAUCUUAGCGGGAGGAAAAUACUUAGAGAUAAAAGCAUCUUUGCACUUAUUCCAAGAAUCAAUACUAUUUUUAGGCAAAGACGAAAACCAAGCUUUAGCACGAUCUCUAAGUGAAAAAAGAAAUAGCUUCAAUUUAACAAUAUCAUUGUCCAGAUCUUUCUUCUUUUGCAUAUCACACAAAUCAACGAAGCUACUUAGAUGGGCGGCGGCAUCUUCACUAGGAAGGCCGGCGAAUUGAUCUUUCAUGACAAGAUUGAACAAAGCAGCAUUAAUUUCACAAGAUUCAGUAUCGGUAAGAGGAGCAAUCGGAGUGCUAAGAAAAUCAUUGUUGUUGGUAUUGGUAAAGUCACACAAUUUAGUAUUAUCUUGAGCCAUCGUGAAAAGCAAGUAAUCAAACACACAAGCAAACAAAAAGCGAGCGAGAAAGAGGCGAACGGAAAAGAGAGGGCGAAUAAAACGGCAAGGGUGAAGUGGGGGAGAGGAAAACGAGAGGCAAAUGGCAAAUAAUGUAAUGCGAGGAAUAAGGGUUUGUGAUGGGUAAUUGGUAUGUUGACUUUUGCGUAGACUCCCCCGCAACAGCGCCAGAAAUCCUUCUUGCUACCUCUUGAGCACUGCGUUGGUUUUUCCUUGAAGAGGAAAGGGUGAUGCAGCAAAUUAGCGUAAGUAUUUCCCUCAGUUUUUGAGAACCAAGGUAUCAAUCUAGUAGGAGGCUACGCUCGAGUCCCACACACCUACACAAACAAAUAAGAACCUCGCAACCAACGCGAUAAAGGGGUUGUCAAUCCCUUCACGGUCACUUACGAGAGUGAGAUCUGAUAGAUAUGAUAAGAUAAUAUUUUUGGUAUUUAUAUGAUAAAGAGAGAUGCAAAGUAAAAUAAAAGGCAAUAGAAAUAGCUAAGUGUUGGAAGAUUAAUAUGAUAGAAAAUAGACCCGGGGGCCAUAGGUUUCACUAGUGGCUUCUCUCAAGAUCAUAAGUAUUACGGUGGGUGAACAAAUUACUGCCGAGCAAUUGAUAGAAUUGGGCAUAGUUAUGAGAAUAUCUAGGUAUGAUCAUGUAUAUAGGCAUCAUGUCCGUGACAAGUAGACCGAAACGAUUCUGCAUCUACUACUAUUACUCCACACAUCGACCACUAUCCAGCAUGCAUCUAGAGUAUUAAGUUCAUAAGAACAGAGUAAUGCUUUAAGCAAGAUGACAUGAUGUAGAGGGAUAAACUCAUGCAAUAUGAUAUAAACCCCAUCUUGUUAUCCUCGAUGGCAACAAUACAAUACGUGCCUUGCUGCCCCUGCUGUCACUGGGAAAGGACACCGCAAGAUUGAACCCAAAGCUAAGCACUUCACCCAUUGCAAGAAAGCUCAAUCUAGUACGCCAAACCAAACUGAUAAUUCAAAGAGACUUGCAAAGAUAACCAAUCAUACAUAAAAGAAUUCAGAGGAGAUUCAAAUAUUGUUCAUAGAUAAUCUUGAUCAUAAACCCACAAUUCAUCGGUCCCGACAAACACACCGCAAAAGAAGAUUACAUCGAAUAGAUCUCCAAGAGAAUCGAGGAGAACUUUGUGUUGAGAUCCAAAGAGAGAGAAGAAGCCAUCUAGCUAAUAACUAUGGGCCCGAAGGUCUGAGGUAAACUACUCACACAUCAUCGGAGAGGCUAUGGUGUUGAUGUAGAAGCCCUCCAUGAUCAAUGCCCCCUCCGGCAGGACGCCGGAAAAGGCCCCAAGAUGGGAUCUCACGGGUACAGAAGGUUGCGGCGGUGGAAUUAGGUUUUCGUGGAUGCCUCUGAUGGUUUGGGGGUACGUAGGUAUAUAUAGGAGGAAGAAGUAGGUCGGUGGAGCCACGAGGGGCCCACGAGGGUGGAGGGCGCGCCUGGGGGGGGUAGGCGCGCCCCCUACCUUGUGGCCUCCUCGUCUGUUACUUGACGUCCACUCCAAGUCCUCUAGAUCACGUUUGUUCCAAAAAUCAUGUUCCCGAAGGUUUCAUUCCGUUUGGACUCCGUUUGAUAUUCUUUUUCUGCGAAACUCUGAAAUAGGCAAAAAAACAGCAAUUUGGGCUGGGCCUCUCGUUAAUAGGUUAGUCCAAAAAAUAAUAUAAAAGUGUAUAAAUAAGCCCAUUAAACAUCCAAAACAGAAUAUAUAGUAGCAUGGAACAAUAAAAAAUUAUAGAUACGUUGGAGACGUAUCAGCCAGCGGGGCACGCUUAAUUGGACUCUAAAAGGGGACUCUCCCACGGCUUAUUUCUUUGCCAUCGCUAAUGGUAGGAGGAGACGGUGUGGUAUUAACAGCCUGAUCAUUAAUGGAGUGCGGUCUUCGGACCAAUCUGUGAUCCUCUCUCACGUGGUGGAGUUCUUCUCAUCGUUAUUAGGGGCCAAACCUCCCUCGGGGUUUUCCGUUUCUCCUGCCUUGUGGGACCAUAGUAUGAAAAUCUCAGCCGAAGAAAAUGCUGCGUUGAUGGUGCCCCUCUUCGAUAAGGAGAUCUCGGAUGCAGUUAACUCUGCUAACCCGAAUGCUGCUUCCGGGCCGGAUGGCUUUUCGAUUCCCUUCUUUCGGAAGUUUUGGCCUCAGUUGAGGCAGUUGGUUUGUAAUGUUAUUCAGGGAUUCUGUCUAGGAACUAUUGAUAUAUCUCGCCUCAACUACGCGGUGAUCUCCUUGAUUCCUAAAGUUAAAGGUGCUGAACUGAUUUCCCAGUUCAGGCCUAUUGCGCUGAUUAAUAACUUUGCUAAGUUUCCUGCUAAGGGCUUUGCUACCCGCCUGUCCCCCGUUGUUCAUAGAGUUAUCAGCCCUUACCAGUCAGCUUUCAUCAAAGGGCGCUUCAUUUUAGAUGGCAUACUCUGUCUUCAUGAAAUAAUUCAUGAUUUGAGAGCUCGUAAUUCUAAGGCUGUCAUUUUAAAACUAGACUUUGAGAAAGUCUAUGACUCGGUCAGUUGGCCUUUUCUCAGUAAGGUUCUUCUAGCGAAAGGCUUUGACGGGGCGUAUGUUCAUCGUAUUAUGCAGUUGGUCUCGGGUGGCCACACUGCGGUUUCUGUGAAUGGCCACAUUAGUAAAUUUUUUGCUAAUGGCAGGGGCCUGCGACAAGGGGAUCCUGCGUCUCCUGUCCUGUUUAAUUUUGUUGCCGAUGCCUUCUCUUGCAUUCUAUCUAGGGCGGCUCAGCAUGGCCAUAUCCUGCCUGUGGUCUCUCAUUUAAUUCCUGAUGGUGUCACUCACUUGCAAUAUGCUGAUGACACCAUUAUUAUGGUUGAAUUGAACGAUGCCUGCAUUGCCCAUCUCAAGUUCAUCCUUUUUUGAGGCCGUCUCUGGCCUGAAAAUUAACUUCUCCAAGAGUGAGGUCCUGGUCACUGGUGUUGAUGAUGCGGAGGCCUUGAGAGUGGCUAUGCUGCUUAACUGUUCUCUGGGCUCCUUCCCUUUCAAAUAUCUGGGACUCCCCAUCUCUCCUAUUUUGUUACAUUCUAAGGAUUUUGCUCCGGCUGUUUCUAAGGUGGGAAACAGGGUUCUUCCCUGGAGAGGCAGAUAUAAUACUAAUGCUGGCAAAGUUGCUCUGAUUAACGCCUGCCUCUCCUCCCUUCCUAUGUUUCUAAUGGGCUUUUAUCUCUUAUCGGCUCGCAUUCAUGCCGGUUUUGACAAGCACAGGGGUGCUUUCUAUUGGGAUGCUGCUGACAACAAACGGAAAUUUAGGCUGGUUAAAUGGAAGCUCAUGUGCAGGCCUAAAAACCUUGGGGGUUAGGCAUUAUUAACACGUUGGUUAUGAACAAAUGUCUUUUAAUCAAAUGGUGGUGGAAAAUCAUGACUAGUGGGGCCGGCUCUUUAUGGUAUUCAAUCCUUAAAGCUAAAUAUUUUCCACACUCUAGCCCGAUGUUUGCUGGGCCCUGGCAUGGAUCCCAAUUCUGGAAGGACCUUAUUAAAGUCAGACCUUUGUUCCUGGAACAUGUUAAGUUUAAUGUUGGUAACGGCACCUCGGUUCGUUUUUGGCGUGACUGGUGGUGUGGUGACACUCCUCUGGCUGUUAGCUUUCCGGUUCUUUUUUCGUAUUGCCCUAACCCGAAUAUCUCCAUCGCGGAGGUGGCGGCUAAUAAUUGGGACCUGGCUUUCGUCGUUCCCUGUCUCCUAAAGAGUUGGAAGACUGGCAAGACUCUCUGCCUUAUUCCCCUUGCUCUCGGAGACGCCGGAUACGGUGGUCUGGCCUCAUUCUCCCUCUGGCCAGUUUUCAGUUAAAUCUCUGUACUCUAGGAUCAUCGGAGGUGCCCCUUCGAAUAGGUUCUCUUGCAUUUGGCGGUCCAGAGUUCCUCCUAAGAUUAAAAUCUUCCUCUGGCAGGCCUUCAAAGGCCGUCUCCCCGCGGCUGACCAAAUUCGUAAGCGUAACGGGCCGGGCUCGGAGUUUUGUGCUCUAUGUGGUGCCUUGGAAGACACGAAUCAUAUCUUUUUUCAUUGCGUGCUGGCUAAGCUGGUCUGGAGCUAUGUCCGAUCCUGGCUCCAGGUUACUUGGAAUCCCUCCUCCUUUCCUGAGCUGAGAAACCUUGCCAAGUCGUUGGUUGGGGUGACUAGGAGGGUUUUCUGGCUUGGCCUGGGUGCGAUUUGUUGGUCGUUGUGGACGAUUAGGAAUAAAUUUACGAUCGAACACGUUUUCCCUACUAAGGCUGCUGACUCUCUUUUCAAAUCUUGUAUCUUCUUGCAGCAGUGGAGAUCAUUGACUAAGGAGGACGACUGGGGAGUGCUGGACCUGCUCAUCUCUAAAAUUCGGGCCUCGACGUCUUCUCUAUCUGGGCAGGGUUCUGCAGUCUGAUCUAGCCUGUCGAUGGUUCUUCGUCUCUGAUGGUGGCUCUAUCUUUUCUUUUAUCCGGCCUGCGUGCCAUGUCUGGCAGGUUGCCAUGUACCCCUCAUACUUUCGUGCUCCUGAUCCCUAGUUCUGUUAGCGUGAAUUAUUGAUGGCUUCGCCCCAUGUUGGUGUUUGGGCUUGUGACUCUGCCUUGUGGCUUUAUUUAUAAAGUCGGGCUAUUGCCUUUUCUUAAAAAAAAAUCUAUUUUGGAACGGAGGGAGUAGUAGGCACGAAGGAUGACCCUCUGGAGCAGUGUGCCCCUGAAACAAAUGCAGAGCAGAAGGCUCCUGAAGAGAAGUUGGUCAACCGGAGCAGUGUGCUCCAAAUGAGGAAACUGUCGCUAGUGAUUCCCCAGAAGAAAAAGCCCUCGUUCUCCAGAAGAAAUCCCUCUGGAUGAAGUACUACUUGAGAAUGCAGGAGGACUUGAUUCUCCCUCUAUACGUGCUUUCAUUCCGUCUCUCAGUUCCUUUGUGGAUGUCGAAAGAGAAACAAGAUGAUGUUGUUCCAUCUCAGCCAAGUGCGCAGCCCAAGAUAGUUGCAUAAAAGGCCCCUAGUGCUUUCCCCCGAAGAUCAUGCUCAAACGAGUGCUUCCACAAAAUCCUCUAAGUCCGUUGUGGCUGCCUCGUUUGUAGUCAAUUCACGAGGAGGAAGAAGCAGAAAUUGCUGCUAGCACUGAAGCCUUGCUUUCCCAAGCAGAAACUGCCGAAGUUUGAUUCUGGGAGAUCUCCUUGUACUUUAAUUCAACAUGCUGCAACACAAUGCGAAACUUACUUGCUUCAGAGAAUGUCCAUAUGAUGGUUAUCGCACAUCUCAAUCUGCUUGGUUCUGGACGAUGAGCAGAUGGUUUAUUACGCAAAGCUUUUGUGCAACAAAGGCAGAGUUUUCCAACUUGAAUGCUUGAAUGUGCCCACAAUGCAGACGGUCAGUUGUUUAUCUCCUAUCUUGAUUACUCUCGAUGCUCUACAGUUGACUAGUGUACUCAAUUUUCACCAUGACUGGAAUACCGAACUUAACAAUUAGUUAUAUGCCACACUCUUAUGUCACUGUAGAUCCCAAGUUCCCAACGAUUCUUCCACAUGGGUGCUAGAAUGGAUGAAAAAAAAUUGGAAGGAUAAAAACCUCAGCAUCUCAGUUCAUGUACAACUCGGAUUUCCUAUCUAUGAAGAAUCUGGUACUGCUGUGANNNNNNNNNNNNNNNNNNNNNNNNNNNNNNNNNNNNNNNNNNNNNNNNNNNNNNNNNNNNNNNNNNNNNNNNNNNNNNNNNNNNNNNNNNNNNNNNNNNNNNNNNNNNNNNNNNNNNNNNNNNNNNNNNNNNNNNNNNNNNNNNNNNNNNNNNNNNNNNNNNNNNNNNNNNNNNNNNNNNNNNNNNNNNNNNNNNNNNNNNNNNNNNNNNNNNNNNNNNNNNNNNNNNNNNNNNNNNNNNNNNNNNNNNNNNNNNNNNNNNNNNNNNNNNNNNNNNNNNNNNNNNNNNNNNNNNNNNNNNNNNNNNNNNNNNNNNNNNNNNNNNNNNNNNNNNNNNNNNNNNNNNNNNNNNNNNNNNNNNNNNNNNNNNNNNNNNNNNNNNNNNNNNNNNNNNNNNNNNNNNNNNNNNNNNNNNNNNNNNNNNNNNNNNNNNNNNNNNNNNNNNNNNNNNNNNNNNNNNNNNNNNNNNGAUGGAUCCUGCUAUUGCUGGAGAUAUUGCCAAGCCGAUGCGAAACUGAAUGACUUGGUGUAUAUCAACAAAACUUUCGAUCCGAUAAUGAGCAAAACUCUCUGUCCCAAGACGGGAAUUCACUCUCAGGACUUAAUCGAAGGGAUAGUUGAAGCUCUCUUUUCUGGUCCUUUAUUGAGUUUGACAACAUAUGUGCGUCUCUCCACUGCUUGAAAGCACAUAGUGUUGGCGGCGCGGUGUUCAGAAAAUCCCUCUCAUAACAUGGGAUGAUCUGGCGGCAAAAAAAAAAUAUAAAAAGGGAUGAAAGAAAACAUGGAUGAGGACUAAAAAAACAUGGAACUAAAUGGGAAAAAUGAGGAUUCCCAUAGAUUGUCACUGAUGAUGUUUUGAAUCCCUAUACUAGAAAAACACCAAAUGAUGCGCUGGUUGCAUCCUUGUUUGCGCAUGAGAUUUUGCACACUGCGCAUGCCAUCUAUGCACAUUUUUUUUGAAGUUAUAUAGUUCUUAAAUGAAUAAUAAUAACAGUUAAAAAAUACACACACACGCACACACAAAAUUGAGAAUGUUUAUGAAAAUAAAGGAGUGAAGUUAAAGUCAAGAGGUAAACGACAGAAAUAUCGCAAAAAUAUCCAAAGCCAAAAAUGACCAUUUGUUGUAAUAUCAGGUCUAAUACAAUAGUUCAAUUCAUAUUUAAUCGGAAAAUGUAUGUAUGAUAAAAAAUGCAAAGAGAAGGGCAGCACCGGAGGGUUUGAAGAAAUCGAAUGAAGAUAACCUGAUAUUGUUUCGUCUAGAAUGAAAAAUGCUGCAAUAUUAAGAAAACCUAAGGAAAAGAAGAUAGUUUAGCUAUCUAGCAGUCACCAGACCUACAUUUACAUUUUUUACAUGCAUGAACAGUAAAUGCAUAGUAAUAAUUACUGAAAAAAGGUGAUUGUCAAACAGAGAAACAAAGAACUGAACAUUAAACUAACAAACAUAGAAAAUUGAUCUUGUCUCGAUGGUCAAUGAAUAAUGAAGAAGAACGACUGAAAAACUGAGGAUGAUAAAAAAAAUGGCUUAAAGGGGAGAUUGAAGAAUACGGAUAAAUAACCAUGAACGAUACCUGAGAAAUGAACUGAGGAAGAAGGAUUGAUGAAUGACAUUAACUGACAAAUGAUAAAUAAGAAGACUGAGAAUUUCAAGACAGAUAAUUGAAGAAUUAUAAGAAUAUUGAGGAAAUAAGCUGAGGAGUCAAUAUUGACUGAAAAUAAAUGACUGGUGAAAACAACUGACACUAACUACAAAAUAAGAAACUAUGAAUGCAACUGACAAUGAAUAUAACUGGAAAAAUCUGAAAUCGACAGCUCCCCCAAAACACUGAACCAACAACGUUGUCAGAAGGCCUAGAUCCCUCAGGAACAUAGUUUCUCCCGCGCAACUUUGGUGAUGAGCAGGCGAACUAAAAUUGACACUCUGAACCAUAGUGAACUGAACCCAAAUAAUCGCACAGCGAGCAGGACGUUUGGGAAUCAAUUUUUGUAGACUUAAACCGAUCACUUGUAGCAGCUCCGACACGACUGAGCUUAGAGGGGGGACACAGAGAGAAGUGGCUUGCUGUACCUAUCUCGCGAUCGGUGGUUCCGCUCCGCCAGAGCACUAAUUGCUCGUGGCGGGCGCCAUGCAAGAUCCCCACUGGCCACCUCUCAAUCUCCUCCAUAUGUCAUUCCUCUCGCCAUUCGCCGGCAGCUAGCUGACAACUUGCCUCCCUUCUUCUAUCCUCUUGCUGCUGCCAGCCACUCUCCUUCCCCUGCCUCCCCCUCUCAAGCUGCGCUGGCACAAUGACGAACAAGCACGCCGCCUGGAAACCGGUUCGGGUUCAAAAACGUGGUAAAAGAAAACCUCAACCCGAAAACCCACCUAAUUGUCAAAGACCCGACUGAGAUUCAAACAAAAUCGGACAGCCAUAAAAUCUGACCUAAGCCAAAUCAAAAACAGGUGACUGAUUUUUAGUGGAACUGUAUUAUUUUUAGUUCCUUUAUUAUCAAGUCUUCAGCUGUUAAUACGUUUGCCAAACUUGCAGCUUCCAGACUAGAUUUUUUUUUAAACUUCGAGAAGCCCAAAAACAUAGCAAAAGGGGAAGACCUUUACAAAUCAGCAUUUUUUUAAAAAGAGUUAUCUUUCCUCAUUUGUUUUUAUCGCAUCUGGCAGGACCAUAGAUAAAGAGCUAGCUAGUUCUAAACAACAAUACAAUGAAGUUCAUACGUAAAAAAAAAAUACAAUGAAGUUCACUCCACAUAAACAACACCUGGAUAACACCAUAUAAGGAGAACAGAUUCGGAUUACAACAUCCAGUUAACAUGUCACUUCUUUAUGGCAACGAGAACGACGAAUCACUUGGCUCAUAAGGCGAGCAGCAGUCCUCACUUCUACUAGUAGUUUUAUACUCUACAUUGGAGUGAAUUUCUUUAAAGUGAACACUUUUAAUUGGCCGGCUUCAAACACUGUGCUAGAUAAGGUUAGCUACUAACUCCAAGGAUAUCAGCAAACAUCUCUUUCCAUCCAUCCGAAUCCAGAUACAUCCAAGUGGCAAGCAUUGUAGGCAGUCCAUAUACCAGCCAUUUAUUCAAUCUUUC
rnacentral:lncRNA from 1 species